rnacentral:ncRNA from 1 species
GAUAGCUUGGAUGUGAGAGCGCGUUCUGAGAUUAUACGGUUGAACUUGACUCUGGAUAAUACCAGCGAAAGGAUCAUGCCCUCUCCUUCU